GGGUAAAGGCCUACCAAGACAAUGAUGCAUAGCCGAGUUGAGAGACUGAUCGGCCACAUUGGGACUGAGACACGGCCCAAACUCCUACGGGAGGCUGCAGUAGGGAAUCUUCCACAAUGGGCGAAAGCCUGAUGGAGCAACGCCGCGUGUGUGAUGAAGGCUUUCGGGUCGUAAAGCACUGUUGUAUGGGAAGAAAAGUUAAGGUAGGGAAUGACCUUAGCCUGACGGUACCAUACCAGAAAGGGACGGCUAAAUACGUGCCAGCAGCCGCGGUAAUACGUAUGUCCCGAGCGUUAUCCGGAUUUAUUGGGCGUAAAGCGAGCGCAGACGGUUGGUUAAGUCUGAUGUGAAAGCCCGGAGCUCAACUCCGGAAAGGCAUUGGAAACUGGUUAACUUGAGUGCAGUAGAGGUAAGUGGAACUCCAUGUGUAGCGGUGGAAUGCGUAGAUAUAUGGAAGAACACCAGCGGCGAAGGCGGCUUACUGGACUGUAACUGACGUUGAGGCUCGAAAGUGUGGGUAGCAAACAGGAUUAGAUACCCUGGUAGUCCACACCGUAAACGAUGAACACUAGGUGUUAGGAGGUUUCCGCCUCUUAGUGCCGAAGCUAACGCAUUAAGUGUUCCGCCUGGGGAGUACGACCGCAAGGUUGAAACUCAAAGGAAUUGACGGGGACCCGCACAAGCGGUGGAGCAUGUGGUUUAAUUCGAAGCAACGCGAAGAACCUUACCAGGUCUUGACAUCCUUUGAAGCUUUUAGAAAUAGAAGUGUUCUCUUCGGAGACAAAGUGACAGGUGGUGCAUGGUCGUCGUCAGCUCGUGUCGUGAGAUGUUGGGUUAAGUCCCGCAACGAGCGCAACCCUUAUUGUUAGUUGCCAGCAUUCAGAUGGGCACUCUAGCGAGACUGCCGGUGACAAACCGGAGGAAGGCGGGGACGACGUCAGAUCAUCAUGCCCCUUAUGACCUGGGCUACACACGUGCUACAAUGGCGUAUACAACGAGUUGCCAACCUGCGAAGGUGAGCUAAUCUCUUAAAGUACGUCUCAGUUCGGACUGCAGUCUGCAACUCGACUGCACGAAGUCGGAAUCGCUAGUAAUCGCGGAUCAGCACGCCGCGGUGAAUACGUUCCCGGGUCUUGUACACACCGCCCGUCACACCAUGGAAGUUUGUAAUGCCCAAAGCCGGUGGCCUAACCGUAAGGAGGGAACCGUCUAAGG
rnacentral:rRNA from 1 species